UACGGGGGGGGCAAGCGUUGUUCGGAAUUACUGGGCGUAAAGGGCUCGUAGGCGGCCAACUAAGUCAGACGUGAAAUCCCUCGGCUUAACCGGGGAACGGCCUCUGAUACUGGCUGGCUGGAGUUCGGGAGAGGGAUGCGGAAUUCCAGGUGUAGCGGUGAAAUGCGUAGAUAUCUGGAGGAACACCGGUGGCGAAGGCGGCAUCCUGGACCGACACUGACGCUGAGGAGCGAAAGCCAGGGGAGCAAACGGG
rnacentral:rRNA from 1 species